GGAUGUGAGGGCGAUCUGGCUGUGACAUCUGUCACCCCAUUGAUCGCCAGAGUUGAUUCGGCUGAUCUGGGUGGCUAGGCGGGUAUCCCCUUCCUCCCUCAUCUCUCCAUGAGAUGUGUGUCUCUCCUGAAGCUGUGUGCUAGGUCGAAGAGGCCCGGUCUUCGGUGGAGGGUGGAGGGUAUCCGAGUAGCUGCGCUCCCCUGCUAGAACCUCCAAACAAGCUCUCAAGGUCCAAAAUCUCAUCUCAUUAUUAUAUCCGAAAAGAAAAACGUACUUGCUUUAUUUAUUUC
rnacentral:snRNA from 1 species